GAUGAACGCUGGCGGCGUGCUUAACACAUGCAAGUCGAACGGAAAGGCUCCUGCUUGCCGGGGUACUCGAGUGGCGAACGGGUGAGUAACACGUGGGUGAUCUGCCCUGCACUUCGGGAUAAGCCUGGGAAACUGGGCCUAAUACCGGAUAGGACCACAUUUUGGAUGGUGUGGUGGAAAGUUUUUCGGUGUGGGAUGAGCUCGCGGCCUAUCAGCUUGUUGGUGGGGUAAUGGCCUACCAAGGCGUCGACGGGUAGCCGGCCUGAGAGGGUGUACGGCCACAUUGGGACUGAGAUACGGCCCAGACUCCUACGGGAGGCAGCAGUGGGGAAUAUUGCACAAUGGGCGCAAGCCUGAUGCAGCGACGCCGCGUGGGGGAUGACGGCCUUCGGGUUGUAAACUCCUUUCGCUAGGGACGAAGCGUUUUUGUGACGGUACCUGGAGAAGAAGCACCGGCUAACUACGUG
rnacentral:rRNA from 1 species